CUGUCUCACAGAUGGCCGUGCACACCCACCUGCAUUCGAGACAUAUCAGCAUUAUCAACCUCUAAGACCAGCCACCCCUAAAACUUACCCCUCUUCCUAAACCACCUAAUGUCAUGUUGCCAUAUUAUUUAUUGAUCGGUCGAUAUUCUACAUUUUUCC